GAAAGAAAGAAAAAAGACUGAAAGAACGGAAGGAAGAUGGAGGACACCCAAGAGGGAGAGUCAAGGUGGAGCCAAGAAGAGGCCCUUAGUUUCAACGUUACAAAAUACCCCCUCCAUUUUGUAUUCCUCGAGCGUGGGGAGCUCUUCGCCACGCCGGCAUGAGAGGCUCUCGGCAGCCUCGUUGUUCAGUCACUGCAAAACGGUUGUUCUGUUGGCAUACGGAGCCGGUUGCAAGGCUGGCGCGUGCAAGCUUUGGUCUCUCUGCCUUUGGUCUUUGCGUCUGAGAGGGAUAAAGUAAACAAGAUACUGACAAACACGAAUCACUUGAGCAGAAAAGGAAACUGAAGAAAUAAAAGAAAAGGAGAAAAGAAAAAGAGUGAAAGAAGAAGAAGACAGCAAAGGAGAAGAGGAGGAAGAAGACGACGUAAAAGAACAGGGAUAAUGAGAAAGAGAAGAGUAAGACGCAGAUAGAUUAAAAGAAGUAAUUACGGAAGAA